rnacentral:rRNA from 1 species
UGGGGAAUAUUGGACAAUGGGGGAAACCCUGAUCCAGCAAUGCCGCGUGUGUGAAGAAGGCCUUCGGGUUGUAAAGCACUUUCGGUGGGGAAGAAAUUCUCAAGGGUAAUAUCCUUGGGCGUUGACGUUACCCACAGAAGAAGCACUGGCUAACUCUGUGCCAGCAGCCGCGGUAAUACAGAGAGUGCAAGCGUUAAUCGGAAUCACUGGGCGUAAAGCGCGCGUAGGUGGAUAUUUAAGUCGGAUGUGAAAGCCCUGGGCUUAACCUGGGAAUUGCACCCGAUACUGGGUAUCUUGAGUAUGGUAGAGGGAAGUGGAAUUUCCGGUGUAGCGGUGAAAUGCGUAGAUAUCGGAAAGAACACCAGUGGCGAAGGCGACUUCCUGGACCAAUACUGACACUGAGGCGCGAAAGCGUGGGGAGCAAACA